UGAAUCCGGCUUCAUCAAUGAGGUUUCCAUAUGCUCCGUCAAGGCAAUUCUGGUGGGCAGUAUUGUUGGCGACGACAGUGCGGGCGUCUGUUAGGAUUCCGAAACGGAAGUUUUGAAUCUCUUUCACCAGCAUGCUGAACAUAAGCAUGAUUCCCUGCGGGAACAGCCAACACAGUUGAGAAAAUGAAACUCAAGAUAAGAAGGAUGAAGAAGACUAAAA
rnacentral:misc_RNA from 1 species